rnacentral:rRNA from 1 species
UUCCGCUUGAUCCUGCCGGACCCGACUGCUAUCAGAGUGGGACUAAGCCAUGCGAGUCAACGUAGCAAUACGUGGCGCACGGCUCAGCAACACGUAGUCAACAUGCCCAGGGGACGCGGAUAACCUCGGGAAACUGAGGAUAAACCGCGAUAGGUCAUGAUUUCUGGAAUGGUUUAUGGCUGAAAUCUAUAUGGCCUCUGGAUUGGACUGCGGCCGAUCAGGCUGUUGGUGAGGUAAUGGCCCACCAAACCUGUAACCGGUACGGGCUCUGAGAGGAGGAGCCCGGAGAUGGGCACUGAGACAAGGGCCCAGGCCCUAUGGGGCGCAGCAGGCGCGAAAUCUCUGCAAUAGGCGAAAGCUUGACAGGGUUACUCUGAGUGAUUCCCGCUAAGGGGAUCUUUUGGCACCUCUAAAAAUGGUGCAGAAUAAGGGGUGGGCAAGUCUGGUGUCAGCCGCCGCGGUAAUACCAGCACCCCGAGUGGUCGGGACGAUUAUUGGGCCUAAAGCAUCCGUAGCCGGUACUGCAAGUCUUCCGUUAAAUCCACCUGCUCAACAGUUGGGCUGCGGAGGAUACUACAGCGCUAGGAGGCGGGAGAGGCAAGCGGUACUCAUUGGGUAGGGGUAAAAUCCACUGAUCCAUUGAAGACCACCAGUGGCGAAGGCGGCUUGCCAGAACGCGCUCGACGGUGAGGGAUGAAAGCUGGGGGGAGCAAACCGGAUUAGAUACCCGGGUAGUCCCAGCUGUAAACGAUGCAGACUCGGUGAUGGGCUGGCCUUGUGCUAACCCAGUGCCGCAGGGAAGCCGUUAAGUCUGCCGCCUGGGGAGUACGG